rnacentral:lncRNA from 1 species
CAGAAGGCCACUUGUGGACUAGGAACAUCCACAUUGUACAUAAUGUGAGGAGAAGUUGAUGAGUAACCUUUGAAUCUAGAACUGGUAGGGCUCUUGAAGUCAAUUUCCAACUCCUUAUCUUUAAACAGAUUUACUCCUAAGUCAUUGCUCAUGAGUAAAAUUGAAUCCAAAGCUUCAGAGGGAAUUAUACAGAUCAGGAUAACCCACAGGGAUAUGGUUAAUACUUAGCCUGGUCCAGAGAUGUCUUGGGAGGCUUCCUGAUAGAGGAAACACAAGUCCUGAGUCUUAAGAACCGGUAGAAGAGUGGGAGACAGAGAAUGACCCUCUUGCUUUUGUAAUCAUUUUCUUUUACUACUUUUAUGGUCUUAUACUUCAGUUGCAGUUACCUUGUGCCCAUGAAGGAUUUUCAUCCAUCUCUCUUUACAAUAAUUCACAGUAGAUUCAAAGUUUGACUUGCUCUUUGUCUUUCCUCUUUUUGUGCUAAAUAUUUUCUAAUUCAUUUAUAUGUUACUCAGGUGCAUCUUCCUUUUUAUGCUAAUAAUAUUUGUUUACACAUAUGCAUAUCUUAAAUUCUGCUUUGUUGAAGUAAAGUGUGUCAGGCAGUACCUCCCCCCAUUCCUGUCACCACAUCUGUCAGAAAAGCUUCAGCAUCACACUUAUCAGAGUGGCAGUUCUGAGCAGCUAAACUUGCUUCUCUUAAUCUGCUCUGGGCAGAGCAAACUUAGCCUCUUUUCCAGUGUCUUUUCUCAUCUCAAUCUAUGUUGUGAUUACACAAAUUGAAAAAAUGGCCUUCUUUUAAAAAUUGUGGUCAAAGGGGGUUAAUCUUCUAAUUGUUUUCCAGCCCAAAUCAGGAAAUCCAAAUCUUUAUAGAUCAGGAUUCAUUAUUUCCUUGAUCUAAAUAUUGGAUUUAACAUUUAAAAACCAGCACCAAGUGGAUCAGCCUUCAUGGUGUCAGAUGGAAUUUCUAGGUCUUGAAAUUUUGCAUUCAUGGUCUCACUUUUUCACUAGUUAUAGACUUAAAAACUUAUGUAUUGUUUUAAGUUCAAAAGACAUGAAUUUCUUUUGUAUCCAGAUAGUCAAAUGUUUCCAUUGUAUCCCCACCAUUUCUUGAAUAUUCCCUCUAUAUGUGAUUCUCUGCACGUGUCUUUGUGACCUAGACUCUUGACCCCUGACAACUGUACUGAAUGCUGUUCACCUCUGCUUUCUUAUUGUGAAUACAGGACCUGUUUCAUAAUAGCAUCUCCUUAAAUAUAUUUUUGUUCAUUUGUCUGUUUCAUGAAUUUCUUUUUGUUUUUGGUUUAGGCAGGGCUGGCCUCAAACUCUUGGGCUUAUGUGAUCUUCCUACCUCAGCCUCCUGAAUAGCUGGGACUACACGUGUGUGCCAUUGCACCAGCUAGAUUUUUUUUUAAAUUAAUAAGGCAGUGAAUAAAGUCUUAGAGAAUGUGAAAUAGAGCCUGUUGCAGUGUGCUGUUCCAUAGAGUUCCAAAUCUUGAUUGUGGCCAAGAUAUCUUAUUUAUGAACAUCUAUCUUAUGUGUCUUUCUAUCUCCUUCAACUUCAGAGUCUCUCCCAUCUUCCUCUACAGAAGCUGAGAUGUGACUGUGGGGUGGAGCUUUCAGUGCAUUUUGGAAUUUCAACUCAAUAUGGAGAGUCUUAAAAAAUGCUUGCAGGUUUAGAAGCCACGCAUGU